CCUACGGGUGACAGCAGUGAGGAAUAUUGGUCAAUGGCCGGGAGGCUGAACCAGCCAAGUCGCGUGAGGGAAGACGGCCCUACGGGUUGUAAACCUCUUUUGUCAGGGAGCAAGGUGCAGGUCGGGAUCUGCUGUGAGAGUACCUGAAGAAAAAGCAUCGGGAAACUCUGCGCAAGCAGCGGCGGUAAUCCGGAGGAGGAGGGCGUUAUCCGGUUUUAUGGGGGUAAAAGGGUGCGCAGGGGGAGGCAAAGGUCAGCGGUAAAAUCGCGGGGCUAAACCCCGCUCCGCCGUUGAAACUGUGUACCUUGAGUGCGCGAAGGGUAGGCGGAAUGCGUGGUGUAGCGGUGAAAUGCAUAGAUAUCACGAAGAACACCGAUGGCGAAGGCAGCCUACUGGCGCGCAACUGAUGCUCAGGCACGAAAGCGUGGGUAGCGAACAGGAUUAGAUACCCUUGUAGUC
rnacentral:rRNA from 1 species